GAUAAACGCUGGCGGCGUGCUUAACACAUGCAAGUCGAACGAAGUUUUUCCUUCGGGAGAAACUUAGUGGCGGACGGGUGAGUAACGCGUGGGUAACCUGCCCUGUACAGGGGGACAACAGCUGGAAACGGCUGCUAAUACCGCAUAAGCCCUUAGCACUGCAUGGUGCAUAGGGAAAAGGAGCAAUCCGGUACAGGAUGGACCCGCGUCUGAUUAGCCAGUUGGCAGGGUAACGGCCUACCAAAGCGACGAUCAGUAGCCGAUCUGAGAGGAUGUACGGCCACAUUGGGACUGAGACACGGCCCAGACUCCUACGGGAGGCGGCAGUGGGGAAUAUUGCACAAUGGAGGAAACUCUGAUGCAGCGACGCCGCGUGAGUGAAGAAGUAUUUCGGUAUGUAAAGCUCUAUCAGCAGGGAAGAAAAUGACGGUACCUGACUAAGAAGCACCGGCUAAAUACGUG
rnacentral:rRNA from 1 species